rfam:Crassostrea gigas strain 05x7-T-G4-1.051#20 contig14982, whole genome shotgun sequence.
AGCAAAGUUUUUUUAAAAACCACAAAUAUUUUUUUGGAAGAUUUUU